CCUACGGGAGGCAGCAGUGGGGAAUAUUGGACAAUGGGCGAAAGUCUGAUCCAGCAAUUCCGCGUGUGUGAAGAAGGCCUUCGGGUUGUAAAGCACUUUAGUUGGGGAAGAAACAGCUUGGCCACACCAAGCCUUGACGGUACCCAAAGAAUAAGCACCGGCUAACUCUGUGCCAGCAGCCGCGGUAAUACAGAGGGUGCAAGCGUUAAUCGGAUUUACUGGGCGUAAAGGGUGCGUAGGUGGUUUUGUAAGUCGGAUGUGAAAGCCUGGGGCUCAACCUCAGAAUUGCACUCGAUACUGCAAGACUAGAGUUCGGUAGAGGGCGGCGGAAUUCCCGGUGUAGCGGUGAAAUGCGUAGAUAUCGGGAGGAACAUCAAUGGCGAAGGCAGCCGCCUGGGCCUGAACUGACACUGAGGCACGAAAGCGUGGGUAGCAAACAGGAUUAGAUACCCUGGUAGUCCACGCUGUAAACGAUGAGAACUUGACGUUGGUUCGUUUUACGAAUCGGUGUCGCAGCUAACGCGAUAAGUUCUCCGCCUGGGGAGUACGGCCGCAAGGUUGAAACUCAAAGNGAGUGACGNGNGAGAGCGACGACGACGACGACGAGGAGGAG
rnacentral:rRNA from 1 species